rnacentral:lncRNA from 1 species
AAGCCAUUUCAUGAGCAGGGAGUUGUAAAUGUUCUCAUUCUGUUACCUGCUGAGCUCCUGGUGAGAGAGGAGACCCAAGCUCUAGAUUCAUUCUGAUCUAACAAGUGCCCUACCCUCUCAGCAGUGAGUGGCCUCCCAUGGGUACUGGGACCCACACUCAGGAGCUCUGGACUGCUAAGCCACUGAUACAGUCCCAAGGUCCCCACGUAACAGGAACUGGAAGAAGGAAACGGUUUUUUUUGCCUGCUUGUCCCACUCUCACUGACAUCUAUCCUGUUGCUGAGGCAUUCCUCACCAGCAGUCAGGAUUCCAACAAAGACUGAAAACCAGCAGCUCUCCAGGAAUUCUCCAGGUUUUCAGUGCCAGCAGGGGCAUACGGCACCUAGCAAUACAUGGAUGCUCAAGACACUUUGAGGAUUCCAGUGUGUCUGCAUAGUCACUACUGCUCAACCAGUGGUGAGCCUUUCUCCUGUCCCAGAAUGGAAAAUUGAAGAAGAUGCAUUUGACAGUGGGCCCAACUUGGAUUCCUUGGCCUGUGGAUGAAAGUUAAUGAAGUGGGGCAGGGACCAGGGAGGUGCACACCACCACAUCCAGCUGUUUGUGGGUUCUGAGCUCCAAACCCAGGCCCCCACGCUUGUACAGUGAUGGGGGAAAUACUUCUGUGUAUGUUUAUAAAUAAAGUACUUGCUUGGCCAAUGAGACAGCAGGUUAGGCUGGACUAGGAGUCAAAGAGGAUUCUGGGAAAUGUAGUAGAGAAGUGGUGUUCCAGACAGGAAGUGACAUAGCAGGGAGACUCAUAUUUAAGAAGAGGAAAAAGAAAGUGUCGCGCCCUUUUCCCCUCGACUCCUGCUCCAGCCGCACAAUGUGAUCCACCAGCAAGGAGGGACGCCAAUAAGGCGUCCGAUAAGAUAAGUCUUAUAAAAUAUAUAGAUGUAUGAUAAUUGAGACUGAGCUAACAGAUGAGAAUCCUAGUCAUUGGCCAAGCAGCACUAUAACUAAUACAAGUCUCUCUGUGUAUUCAUUUGGGCCUAACUCGGGCGGGUGGCUGUCGUAAAGCUCACAUGUGGUGGUGGGGCUCAGCAGCAUUUGGCAAAAAGAUUAUCGUAACAGUACAGCAGGCUUUUUAUUCAGCGAGCCAUUUCCCCACCCUGAAAUCUUUCUUGAUGGAGCUCCCACCACCUGACUCCAUCUUCCUGAAGGUUCUUGCUACAGCUCAGCAGAUGACAGUUGCUUUUCCUAAGGUCACAUGAUCUCCUCCAUAGCAGCCUACAUUUAAAGAUGAAGGAAGCUGUCAUUGAAGAGUAUACUGUCAUCUUACCAGUUCCUGUGUCUUCCAAACAAAGGAAACUCUGUACUUGCUUUAGUUCGUGAAUACAUUUCUGGAAUCUGGUAAAGAAUGAUUGGCUGGAAAGAUGGCUCAGUAGUUAAGCGCAUUUGUGUCUCUUGCAGAGGACCCCAGUUAGGUUCCCAGCACCCAGGGGGAUCUAUCUGAUGCCCUCCCUGACAACUUGGGUACCAGGCAUGCACAGGGUGCACAUACAUACAUGCAGAUAAAACACUCAUACACAUAAAAGAAAAUCUAUAAUUCUAAAAAAGAAGGCCAAUAUUUAAAAAGGUGCUGAAUAUCUAAAAGCUUUAAGACAAAUAGCAAAGGUAGGAGCCAGCCUUCGGGAAAUCCUCGGGUCUGGUAAUCCUGCUUGGAGAAGGAGUAGGUUGGAGCUAAGGAAUUGAAUGAGCAAGGCUGUGCCAACCUUCCCAUUCAUGCUCUCUUUUGAGACUUCCCUGACAUGUGACAUCAGCUAUCAAACACGGUAACUGAAUAUCAUUUCGUUUUGCCCAUUUCAUCUGAGAUCAUAUUUUUCAUCAAAAGGGCAUUCAGGGUGAAGACAAAAAUUUAAUCUCUUCUGUUUUUUUCCUUUUAAAAAAUAUUUAUUUUUAUUUUUCCUAAGGUGUAUGUGUCUAUGGGAGUAUACCCCAUGUAACUGUGGGCCCCAAGAAGCCAGAAAGGGCAUCAGAUCGCCUGGGGCUAGAGAUACAGGCAGUUGUGUGCUGACCAAUGUGGGCACUGGGAAUCCAACUCCAGGCCACUUCAGAGAGCAGCAAUUAACUCUUAAUUACUGAGCCAUCUCUAGCCUCAAAAACCUGUUCUCUAUACCAGCCAGUAUGGUGCUGGGACUUAUAAUAUGUACAUAUGCUAAUCAAUUGAUGUCUAACCCAGCUAGUGAGUAUAGCUGAUAAAUCCCAGGUGUUCGGCAGAAGUGGGCACCCUCUCAGUAGUUUAACUGCAGGGCCAGGAAUUGAACCUAGAACCUCAAAGAUGCUAGCUAAUAGAGUAUCUUUUUCCACAUUUAAAAAGAACUUUCUGAAUUAUAAAUGUUUUUCUUAUGUUAUUUAACAAUGCACACUGUUUAAAACUGAAUUCAAACCUUGGGGUUUCUCAGGAGCCGUUAACUGUACAGUUUGUGCUAACUCUGGGUGUGGAGCACCUUGUAAGACUCAGCUUUGGGCUUGCUUCUCUUUGCUACCUUUUAGCCUCGUUUCAUGAAACUGUUCAAAUAAACCAGACUUGCUUUUGUUGAAAGAAAAAAAAAAAGAAUGCUAGGUAAAUACUCCACCACUGAAUAAAUGUUCAGUGUACACACACCCUCAACCUCUCAGCCUCACACACACAAUAAAUAAAUAAAAAUAUAAUUUAAAAAUUCUUGUUUUAGGUGUGUAAGGUGAAAUACACUUGAAAUCUUGGCACUUAGGAGGUAGAGGCAGGAGGAACAGCCGCUCAAGGACAGCUUUGUCUACAUAUCGAGCUCCAGGCCAGUCUGGGCUAAGUGCAACCCUUUCUAAAUGAAAUGAGCAAAUAAGUUCCUAGUUUAUGAAAUCGGGGAAUUUAAGGGAUAAAAACAUGGAAUUCCCUGUGUUUUCUAGUCCCAGACUUUUAAGUUAUAGCACAUUCUUCUCCCCACCUUUUUUAGGUUUGUGAAGCCAGACUUAAUAAAAUCGAUUUUAAGCAAGAAAACUCCUUAUAAAUAAGAAACCAUUAGUAAGGCCCCCGGAAACCAGGAGCUGGCUUUCCUUCCCAUCUUGGACUUAUAUUUUGAAUGAGAGGGCCCACAAAGAGGGGGUGCUAAGCUUUCGCCUUGCUUCCUUGCAAUUGGUUUUUACUCUAUAAAUGACAGAAGUGUGUACUGUGUCAGCCUGCAAGCCCAGGAACUGUGCAUGUCUGGGAUCAGUCAACAGACUGCUCAUGUCUGGGACAAGCCAGGAAAAAUAAUGAACGAAUGAACGAACAAACAAACAAACAAAAGCCCUCUUGUUUUCUGGUUGAAGGAAGCAAUCAGAAAGUGGACAUAGACAGCCAUGCCUCAGAGAGAUUGUUAUUUAUCCAGGGCUAUUUUCUCGUUCUUUCCGGGUAGCAGGAGUAACCGAUUCCCAGCAGGCCUCAACAGGUGCUUCCCUGUUAUAGUCCACUCAAAGCUUGCCUCACUGAGCACAGUCUGACGGAGACGGAGACAGAGACGGAGAUGGAUGCUGUCUUUAUUUCACUUUGCAUGACCCACAUGAAGCCUAAGAAGCUAUGUGGUUCUCACGGGUCCGCACAGCCUGGCUCAUGUCACUCCGUCUGGUGGACUGUACAGCUUUGCCAUCCAAAUGGAUCACCAAAACAGGUAGACCAGAUCUCCAGAUGCCAUGGUGUCCUGUUCCUGCUCUACAGGAUCUCCUGACAGACAUUGUGGUGUCCUGCCUCUACUCUUCUGGACCUCCUGACAUUGUGGUGUUCUUGUUGUCUUUGUGUGUGUGUGUGCGUGCACUCUUCUUCCCUCUGGGCCACAGAACUUGGACAGAGGUGAUGUUCUGGAUUUGGGAAGAUAUUUAAUUAAAUAACAGUUUCAGCUUGGUGAUAUGACUAGCUGGACCAGGUUGAUGUUGUAAUUGUGCAAUCCUCUUAUAGAUUUCAAACUAACUUUUGAUUUCCCGAGGGGAGGGGAGACCCAGGAGAAAGAGAACUAUGCAUGGAUGGUAGAUGGUCCAGAUACUGACUGAUCAAUGAAGAACUGAAGUCCAGGUUUCACUGCAUACCCAGUGAAGACAUUUCUCCCCAGUCACACUCAACAGUCUUUAAAGGCUUCUGAACUCUAGCAGGGAGACGGUUUUGAGCCCCUAGCAUGUCUUUAUAGAUUACCAGAUACAUGAGAACUGACAUUAUAAUUGCUGAAGUAUAUUUCCUCACUUCCUAUAAACUAAAUAAACUUCACCCAUUGUAUGGGUUUUCUAAUCCCAUCCUCAUCCUUGUACCCACCGUCCUUUCUUGUUUCCUUAGCAACUAUACACCGUAGAAGGGUAAAAGAGAGCAACAGUAAACAAAACAAGUAAGUGGCAGCAUGGUGGACUGCACAGGGGUUAGCUCUCAUGCUGACUUCUUAAGUACUCCUAAUUAUUGUCUCUUCUAGUACCCAGGGUUGUGCAGUCUACAUUAGACAGAUAGAGUUAACACCCAUCAUUUCUGCAUUUUUAGAAAGACAGCCCAAAGAGAGAGCAAAGAGCAAACACAAUUCCUAAAACAGGAGACUUGACCUGUUAUUCUUUAGGUUGUUCCCAUUUGUAUCCUAUUAUUAUCAUCGUUCAUAUCCUGUAUCUUAGGAGUUCCAACAACCCUGGGUACCAUUUAGAGAGAAAGUGGCAAAUACUAUCAUCUAAAAGAGCCCAGUUCUAACACCCCACCACAGUGUGUGGCCCCCAGUCAAAGAACAGUUUCCCUCUUCUACCCUUUCCUAACUCGAUCCACAUGGAGACUUUGUUUCCUUUCUGGGACUUUUAUUGUUGUAUAGCCUCUCAGGAAGAGGAAUAAAUAAAUUAUAGGCAGCAUGCCCAUGGAAUGCUCCCUGAAUCAUUUGUUUUGGUUUUGAGGCAGGGUCUCACUAUUUAGAGAAAGCUGGCUUUGUACUUCUCCCAAAGGAUGGGAUUAAAGGUGUGCACCCACAGACUCUGGCUCAAAGAAAAAAGAAAAAAAAAAAAACAAAAAAAUCUUUCUUCAGUCUUUCAGUGUCUAUUGUAUUCAACACUGGUCUGGGCUUUUAAAAUAUUUAAGCAAAGAGAUGAGGAUGCUGCACACUUUCUAGCUGGGGUCUUCAUAGGCAGUUGUACAUUUUUACAUUUAUUUGGCCAGUUGCAAAUCUCACUGUUGAUUUUGUGAUUAAAUAAAAAAGCAAAUCCCAGGAAGUUAUUUGUAAAACGAUUAUUGCUGGUGUUUAUUUGGCUUACCUUAUCUGUGUUUAAAGAUUGGUGGGGACACUCUGAGCUAUUUGUUCUUGGCCAGAUCCUCAAUUCUGAAAGCAGGGCUUUGGCUUGUCAGUUUUCCCCCUUCAUCCUCUGACAAGUGGUUGGCCCUGUAGAGAAUAAUUUGUACCCUUUGGCCCCACAUAUAUUAAAUACAAAUAAAGAGAAGAACAUGUCAUCGCAAUGUUUUCACUGACUCUUGAGGCAUUGGAAGCUAUUAAGGAAUGUCUCAAGCAAUCUGGACAAACCACACAGUGGUUUCUUAAUAUCUAGCACUGUUCACUCCAGAAAAAUGGAGG